UUCAUGAAAAAGGGUUCGCGUCAUGAAAGAGUUUGAGAAACACGCACUGCACCAGUUAAUAAAUCCUUUGAACUUCACUUCACUUUAUUCACAUUACCACUUCACUUAUGUACCUGACAGUAGACCUUCCUUCCUUUCAGGUAAUCGUUGUCAACAACCACCACUCCAUCGACGGGAUCGCAGUAAUCCAUAUGAUCAAUGAAGUCCCGCUUGCCGAGGUAAACAGUAACUUUGCCAUUUGGUGUAGUUUUCUUAAAUACUUUAACAGCGACGACCAUUUUUAUUAAGGUUUUGGAUGUAACGGACUAGGGUUAAAUAAUAUGAGAUUCCGUCUCCCUAUGGAGUUGUGAUGUCUC